GUGCAUUUUCGAUUCAAACAACAACAGAGAUGAUAUGCACACCUUUGUCCAUUAUCUGAAUCCCUGAGCUAUUCAUGGACCAUUUGAGGGGCGCCUACUCCAUACUGCGGUGCUCAACAGUGAUGCUGUACAGAGGAGAAAAAAACUAGGAAGUCUUCCCACGAUUUAAAUAUGAGUGGAAGGUGGGAUUGGUUUCCGUGUGAUCCUCCUGUCCCAGCUGCUCAUGGGACUGGACACUGCUUCUAGCUAGCAGUUAAUCUGCUUGAGGAUGAAACUGUCCACACACACUGGAUGGCUUCAGGCGAUCUUCCUGGGCUCACUUGGGAAAACGUGUGUCUAGGAGGCAGCAGAGGGAAGAGAUGGAUCUAAAAGGCUGGAGAUGCUUCCUAGGAUGGUGGCCCAGAUGAUGACAUGGGUUUGGAUUCCUUCCAUGAACAAAUGAAGCAGAAGAAAGCCUGUAUAGAGGAAGGAGUGGGGAAGCCUGGAAAUUUCCAAGUUUUGUUACUUGUUUCUUUUCAAGGCAUGUCUGUCUUUUCACUCUUUAAAUUCUUGAAGCAUUUCUCUAUCCUUCAAAUAACCACUUGUUGACAACAGAAAAAGACAGUGGGAGAAACCAAAGCACAGCUAUGACCAUUAUCUGCCCGCCCUUCAAGCUCUUACUACUUUUAUGAAAACUCAGAUCGCAUCAGCCCAUGAGAUACUGUCCCCUAGUUCCUGUAAAUGCUUACUACAUUUCCACUCACCUCUCUCGUCUCACUGUUCUCCCAGCAUGAGUUAUCUUCAUACAGAUCUGAGUGAAACCAUGCUUUUAAAACUCAUUCAUGGGUCCCAGUGCACCGAGCCUUUGCAGAUAAGACCUUCAAUGAAUAGUUAGAGUGAGACUAGGCUGAGUCAGGUUCACUAGUGAUUGAAUCUAAUAAAAUAGAACAUGGCUGUGUAGUAAAAAGUAAAGCAAGAUGCUAAAAUUAGCAUUAGGAGUAAUUCUCGAUUAUCCGCUGGUAUAGAAACAGUUUGAAGUGACAACCUCUCCUGAGAGUGAGUAAGCCAGGAUUAGCUAUCUCAAGAAGUUACAAUGUGUGACAUACUUAACGAAUUAAUUGAUUGCUGAGUACAGGAUGUAUGCUACGUAAUUUGGCUAUACAGAACCUACUCUAAGCUUCAUGUGUUAACAAUGAUCUAUACUAAGCACUUCCAUAUUUACAUCACCCGGAGGAAGAAGUAACUUCUUGUAGGAGUUCACUUUGGGGAAAAUCUGCUGUGGCAAGCAUUGCUGUAAGAGCGACCUGGGGAUUGUCUUUGAGGUCUAGCUUAGUAUGAAGCAAGGGCAUGCUUUGACAUCUUAGACAGGCCAAUUUAAUAGUAGAUCACAUUUGUCAAAAAAACACAUAGGUUUGCAGUUGAAGUUUGGAUAGAAGGCCAAUCUAUUGCAUGGUGUUAGACUUCAGCCAUCAAUAAUCGUCCUUUGACUCCCUAACCCCAUUAGUGACUCCCAAAGCAGACCAUUUGUAAUGAACUGACUUACAACGUAGCAACUUCUUUUCUAGUGUGAACAAUGCUGCCCUAUAAACCAAACAGUUGGCAAGGGGUAAUAGGAGGAGACACCUACAAGGGUAGCACACUCAGGUCACAGGAUCAUCCAGGGUCUGUUGUCAAAUGAACCCGUGCCUACUUUUCAUACAGGGGAAAACCAAGUGAGCAAGCAUAGAGGAAUUGCUCGUUUUUCUCUUUAAAACUUAUUACUGUGAUGUUUACCUUGGAGGCCUGAAAAAGGUGUCAGAUCCCCUGGAGCUUCUCAUACAAAUGGCUGUGAGUUCUGGAAAUGAAAUUCAGGUCCACUGGAAGAGCAGCACAUAUUCUUCAUCAUUAAGACAUCUCUUCAGCUGCUGUUUCUAUUUUUCAGUGAAUAAAAACUAUAACUUUUAAAGAGUGUAUGCUUUUACAGAGCAUCAAUCUAAGCCGAGUAAUGAGAGUACUAGAUUUUAGAUUCCUGGUACAUUAAAUAUGACCCUUAUUCUGUGUGGUAAAUUUAUCCUUCGAUUUGUACUUAUAAUUUUAAAAGCAUAUAUAAGCAUCGCAUAGUCCUGAGAACUAGGUUGGUAUUGUUUGCCUAUUUGUCUGGGAAUAAUAUGAAUGAAGAAAACAUGUUUGUACUUAUUUUAAGUGCUGAGAAUUUUGAAUUGUUGAAUCAGUUUUCCCAAGAAUCUUGAAAAUGAACAGUCAUGAUUUGACUGUAACAUAUCCACAGGGCAGUUCAAGGUCUUCACUACAUUCUGAGGCUUUUUGCAACUUAGUCAUGCUGGGAAUUAAAGUUGCCGUGGUUUUCUUUCUUGAUAUUUCCACUUGAUCAGCUAUCAGAUAUGAAGACUCCAUGUCCUGUUUCCUUCUAGCCUACAGCAGCCAGGGCUCCUGCUUCUCCUCAUGAGUAUGCUUCCUCUGUGUCAUGAAUCUGAAGAUGUUACUGGCAUGUCACUUACCCAUAGGGAAUCUAUGCAUAUAAUUUCGGGAAUUUCCCACAAAACCACUUCUUACUUCUCUAAAUUGAUCAAAAGAACCAUUAGAAUUAGUCUUUUCCUUUCUUUGCAGGGAGCUCAAGACUUUGCACAUGUGAGGAAAGUACUCUAUCAGAGAACUACAUCGGCAUCCCCAAUAAAGACCUUUUAAUCAGACUCUUUACAACCAUAGUGUUGUAGUAAUUCUAAAGUUCUACGGAAAAUAACAAGAUGAAUGCAUAAAGUUUCUGUCUACACCUAACUUACAUUCCCAAACUUUUAGGAUUUUGAUAUUUUAUUUUUUAUCUUCCUGACUUUCUCUGAUUACUUAUAUUGGUGUCCUGUACUUUUUCUAAACCACUUAAGAGUUUGUCUCAUUACACUUCUUUUUACCUCUCGGAAGGGUGAGAAUUUUCCAAACCUGAGUAACCAUUUUCUUAUGCAACCACGUGGUAUGAUUAUCAAACGUGGGACAUUUCCCAUUGAUGAAAUUGUUGUAGUAAAUAUUUAAAAUCCUGCCCUGAGGUUUCUACCCUACCUUUUAUGAUUUAUGUUCCUGGAUGAAAGGCACACUCACAGCCUGUAUAAUAAACCCUAAACAGCACAAUAGCUGGGCAGCUGCCUAUCUUCCAAGUUCUUAGAAUCUACUUUCCUAUCGAUAACCUCAAGUUAUUAUUUACUAUCUGCUGGGUUCUAUUUGGGCUACUCUUAACAACAAUUGGGCAGCUCUCAGGCCACGCUCUCUUAACUCAUGGUGAUGGCACCUCCCUCCUCUCCUGCACAUUUUUCUUCUCCUUCUCCUGACCUCAUGCCUAGGAAACCUAGACCCUUCUGCCCAGUCAUUGGCCAUCGACAUCUUUAUUUACCAAUCAGAAUUAACUUGGGGCUUUGGCUAUUCAUACUUUCCAGUUAUCCCAAUGAAGUGACGUGUAAGUUUUAUGCUCUCCCUCCCAUCCAGGUGCUAAGGUAACACCAUGGGUUGCACUUAGCUGUCGUGACCAUUUGAUCUCUGUUGCUCUAGAACCAUUCUUUUAUCUUUUCUUUGCUUUUCACACUGAAGCCAAUGGCUUUUCAUUUAGGUCUGCUGAUGUCUCCUAACACAUCUCUGGCCAGAACAAUGCAUAUGGAUGUGUGAUCUUCUCAUAUGUCCCUGGAAUAAGCUGUACACCCUUCUUUCAUGAUUGUAAUCCUGUUCACUUGACCCUAGUUGUCCAUUUUCUUCACUCUGGAGUUUCUGAGUUGCUCUUUGAAAGCAGAAUGCAGCCUACUUGGAGACUUCCUAAACCCAUCCAAGGACCCUGCUCUUCAUCACAGUUCUCUUCUCAUCUUGAGUCUAAUCAAGCUGUGCCACAGGGCUUGUGCCACCUUCCACCACCACCCCAGCUCCCCCACACUCUUUCCACAAAAAGCAAAAGUGUCACCAUAAGAGAUGACUCUCUCCCUCUCUUUCCCUCUCAUUCCUCUCUUUCCUUCUCACUUAAUCUAUUAUUAGUAUGAAUAUACAUAUUCUAAAUAUAUUCUCUGUGUUAAGAAGCUAUCCCUAUCAUGAUUUUUUUUUAAUGCCUAAAUAACACCAGAAGAUCUAGCAAGUUGUAAAACCUUUGAAAUAGCUCCUGUGUACUUUCUAUACACGUCCAUAAGUUCAAGGUCCAUUUUAUGCUUUUGUUCAGCAAGAUUUACCACAUAUCUUCUCUGUUCUUACCAGUUACCCAAGUACCUCUGUUUCCUUUCCAUGGCAAAUGGAAUUUAGAAAUUAAGAUCUGAACACUAGGUAUGCUCACUGCUGCUCAAGUGUCUUUUUCUUUAGACCCCCAACAGAGGGCUGAAAUUAAAAGAAAAUAUGCCCAGAGACAGAUGCAAACAUACACAUACAAGGGAAUGUCUUUCUACAUAGGAAUUAGACACCAUCAUCUUUCCCUACCCCAUUUUUUAUUUUCCCUUCUUCUGAUGUGAGAACCCUGACUUUCAAUGACAUAAGAAUAGUUGCUCUUUUAUCCAUCCAAUAACAAGUUGAUUUAGAGUCACUCAACCAGAGAGAGAGAGAAUAUUAAUAUGUAGUUGCAUUUUCUCUAGUAAGGUUUUAUUGUUAAAAAGGUUACUAGAACUUUACCCUCCUAGCCUCCACUUCAAUUCACUCACAUCCAUUUCCAAAAGGUGUGCUCAGAAAGGGUUACUAUCUCUAAUCACUUCUAUCUGCUUCUAUUACUCUUUGUAGAUGAACAACUUCAUUGUUUCUUGGACUAUUUUUUCUGUGGGGUUUUAUUUGGAGGGGUCAUGGGGGUGGAAAAGUAUCCUUAGCUUACUUUCUUGCUUACAGAAAAGUAAUAUAUUGUAGAUUCUUUGUAGAUACAUUGUUUAUCAAAACGUAUUCUGUAGAUAUUUUUUUGCAGGUGUGUGGUGCUCUCGUUUAAAUAAAAUAUCCCAAGCCUUCAGGUAGACCCAAUUUUUGAUAUUAUAAAAAGGCUGAUUUUAUUUAAAAAAAAAAAAAAAAGGCCCAGCUUUUAGAAGACCUCACUCUGAGUUCUUCUGGAAACUCUGUAGUUUUCCCUAGUGAGGUUUUAUUGCUAGCUUAUUUAAAGUGAGGUUUAUUGUUUAUUUAUUUUCAAAUUCUGAAGGGAAAUUUUCAGCAUAAACUCUUAGGAAAAGAUCUAUUAAUUGAAGACUAAAGGUGUGGUUUUGUUAGAUGUGCAAACAAAACUAAACCCUUCAUGUGUAUGUCCCCUUUCACAUUCCCGCAGUGUGAGUGGGCACGUGUCUCUACAGUCUCACCAAGUGUGAGUGGGCACGUGUCUCUACAGUCUCACCAAGUGUGAGUGGGCACGUGUCUCUACAGUCUCACCAAGUGUGAGUGGGCACGUGUCUCUACAGUCUCACCAAGUGUGAGUGGACACGUGUCUCUACAGUCUCACCAAGUGUGAGUGGGCACGUGUCUCUACAGUCUCACCAAGUGUGAGUGGGCACGUGUCUCUACAGUCUCACCAAGUGUGAGUGGGCACGUGUCUCUACAGACUCACCAAGAUUGUUAUCAAGCUUUUGAAUACUUCCCAAUCUGAGGAUCGAGAAGUGGCUUCUUUAUAUAGUUUCAAUUUUAUGGGUGAAAUUGUGCAUCUUUAUCUUAGUUUAAGGACAUGGUAAUUUACAUCUCUUUAGGGGAAUGAAUUGUGUCUUACGCUAUUUAAAAAAAUAAUUUUAGUCUUUCUUUUUUGUCUGUAAUAUGUACCUUAAAUCAUUUCCCUUAGUUUGUUAUUUAACUUUUAUGAUUUUAGCAUUAGUUUUUGUAAUUAGAUUUAUUGUGUUUGCUCUUUUGCAUUUGAAUUUUUUUUUUCUGUUUUGUUUUGUUUUUUUCAAGACAGGGUUUCUCUGUAUAGCCCUGGCUGUCCUGGAACUCACUCUGUAGACCAGGCUGGCCUCAAACUCUGAGAUCCGCCUGCCUCUACCUCCCAAGUACUGGGAUGAAAGGCAAGCACCACCACUGCCUGGCCGCAUUUGAAUUUUAAAUUGAAGUUGAGAGCCUUCAGUCAACAAUCAGCUUUUAGAAGAUCUCACUCUGAGUUCUUCUGGAAUUUGUCAAGUUGAUAGAAUUCUUAUUCCAUUUGGAGUUUAUCUUUGUAACUCUGACAAGUGGACAUAGUUUUAUCUUUAUUCCAAAUAUUUUUCUAAUUGUACCACUGUGUUUAUUGGAUAAUUUGUUAUAAUAAAACCUAUCAUUUUCUAUAAUG
rnacentral:lncRNA from 1 species